GGUAAAAUGGCUGAGUAAGCAUUAGGCUGUAAACCUAAAGACAGGGGAAAAAUACCCCUUUUUACCA
rnacentral:tRNA from 1 species